CAGUAGCCACGGUAAUACGAAGGGUGCAAGCGUUACUCGGAAUUACUGGGCGUAAAGCGUGCGUAGGCGGCUUCUUAAGUCGGAUGUGAAAUCCCUGAGCUUAACUUAGGAAUUGCAUUCGAUACUGGGAAGCUAGAGUAUGGGAGAGGAUGGUAGAAUUCCAGGUGUAGCGGUGAAAUGCGUAGAGAUCUGGAGGAAUACCGAUGGCGAAGGCAGCCAUCUGGCCUAAUACUGACGCUGAGGUACGAAAGCAUGGGGAGCAAACAGGAUUAGAUACCCCCGUAGUCCCUGUCUCUUAUAC
rnacentral:rRNA from 1 species